rnacentral:rRNA from 1 species
UAUGGCCAUACUACCUUGAACAUGUCCAUUCUCAUUGAUCUUUGAAGCUAAGCAGAAUGGCCCUGGCUAGAACUUGGGAGAUGUCUGAGAUCUGGGUGUUGCCCAGU